rnacentral:rRNA from 1 species
AUGCACAAGCGUGACGGCGCCCCAGCCGUGGAUGCCGACAGGUCGAGCCUCACGUCCUACCUCGCCUGCACCUCGCUCAAGCAGCACGAGCCACAAGGGCGUCCGUCGUCCUCAUCUGCUGCCAUCAUGAGGGACCACCAACUGUAUAACGCCGUCGCCCUCUCCUCCCAGGGACUCAACCUCGGGGACGGGCUCUACAACUUGGCCACCCAAGCCUCCGAGCCAUCCAACAGCCUCGGCGGAGCGGUCUACACCUUCGCCGCACAAGCUUCUCAGGCAUACAACAGCCUAGGCAGCGGGAUCUACAACCUCGCCGCCCAGGGCACCCAGGGAGGCGAUCUCGGCGGCGGGCUCUACAAACUCGCCGCCCAGGCCACCCAUGUAGCCGACCUCGGCGGCGGGCUCUACAACCUUGCCACCCAGGCCACCCGGGGAGGCGACCUCGGCAGCGGCGGCGGCGGCGAUGUUGAUACCGCCGCCGUCGAGGUCGCCUUCCUGAGUGACCUGGGCGGAAAGUUUGUAGAGCCCGCUGUCGAGGUUGGCUCCCUGGGUGGCCUGGUCUACGAGGUUGUAGAGACCGCCGCUGAGGUCGCCUCCCUGGGUGGCCUGGGCGGCGAGGUUGUAGAGCCCGCUGCCGAGGCUAUUGAAUGCCUGGGAGGCUUGUGCGGCGAAGGUGUAGACUACGCCGUUGAGGCUGCUGGAUGGCUUGGAGGCUUGGGUGGCCAAGUUGUAGAGCCCGCCGCCGAGGUUGAGUUCCUGGGAGGAGUGCGCGGCGGUGUUGUACAACUGGUGUACAAAUCAUCUCCGGAGGACCCUCAUGUCACUGCCGGCGAGCAGCAGCAGCCGCAGCUGCAAGCGGCGGACAAGGCACCUCGCACCACCGAGGAGGAGCCAGCGGAUUUUAUCAAUCUUUCCCGGAUCAACCCGGAAUACGCUCCAGUCCCCAAUGGCAUCGACAACGGCAGUGGCAGCGCCGCCAUCAGGAAGCAAGCAGAACCCGCACCGUCACCCACACCAAGCAUGGACGACCGCGAUGACGCCCCGGCCGUGGACGCCGACAGCUCGAGCCUCGCGUCCUACCUCGCCCGCGCCUCGCUCGAGCAGCGCCGGCCAGGAGGGCGUCCGGCGUCCUCAUCCGCUGCUAUCGUGAGCGACCACCAGCUGCACAACGCCGCCGCGCACUCCUCGCAGGGACUCAACCUCGGCGGCGGGCUCUACAACUUGGCCACACAAGCCUCUGAGGCAUCCAACAGCCACGAUGGCAGGCUCUACAACCUCGCCGCCCAGGCUACCUACAGCAGCUGCUGCAUCACCAUCGCCGCGCCGGAAGACCCCACUCCGCUCAAGUGGGGCCGCAAGAAGCGCUCGUGCGCCCGCCGCGAGCCGCACGCGCCCACGUCCGCUCCCGUUCCUGCCCCCGCACCGGUGUCUACUCCCGCGCCAGCACCGGUGCCCACUUCCACCUCCGCGCCUGAGCCCGAGCUGAUCCCCGCUCUGGCGCAUUGUCGGGCCAUCUUAAGGCUGAAGAAACGCCCGGCGGCGCAAGGCCAGGCCCAGCCACGCGCGGAGGCGGAGAAGCUGAUGCCGCCGCCGAGCGCCCGCGGCCCCGUCAUCCUCGACACCUCGCCACACACUCCUCGCGCCGCCACCGUCUCGCCAUGGCCACCUCACGCCGCCACCCUCUCGCCACUGCCACCUCGCGCCGCCACCCUCUUGCAGCACAGAUCAUCUGCGGAGGACCCUCAUGCCGCUGCCGGCGAGCAGCAGCAAGCGGCGGACAAGGCGCCUCGCACCGCCGAGCAGGAGCCGGUGCCCAAGGUGCAUGAGCCUAAGCCGCCACCGCAGCAGCCGAGGCGGAAGCCGUACCGUCAGGCGGCGGACAAGGCGGCUCACGCCACCAGCAACGGCGAGCAGGAGCCGGCGCCCAAGGUGCAGCCUAGGCAGCCAACGCCGCAGAGGCAGCAGCCACCGCGCCAGGCGUCAAUGAAGGAGAAGGGCAAGGCGCCGAUGGUGCAGGAGCCCCCCGCGGUGGCGCCGCACGUCGCGCAGAGGGCGGCCGCCGCCGUGGCGGCGGCGGCCCGGCCGCCCGCGCCGUUCGUCGCGACCCAGCUCACCCGCAGGGAGAAGGAGGAGGACUGGUUCGCGAUGACCUGCGGCAGGCUGCCCUACCGCCCCAUGCAGCGCCGCCCCAAGGCUGUCGAGGACAAGCUCCAGAAAAUGUCCCCGGGGCAGACGCUGCCUGAGGUGACCAGGGCAGGUACAUGGUGCACGUGA